AUUGAACGCUGGCGGCGUGCUUUACACAUGCAAGUCGAACGGCAGCAUAGGCGUAAGCUUGAUGGCGAGUGGCGAACGGGUGAGUAAUACAUCGGAACGUACCUAUUAGUGGGGGAUAACUAGUUGAAAGAUUAGCUAAUACCGCAUAAUCUCUGAGGAGGAAAGCUGGGGACCUGAGAGGGCCUGGUGCUGAUAGAGCGGCCGAUGGUCGAUUAGCUAGUUGGGGUGGUAAGAGCACACCAAGGCGAUGAUCGAUAGCUGUUCUGAGAGGAAGAUCAGCCACACUGGAACUGAGAGACGGUCCAGACUCCUACGGGAGGCAGCAGUGGGGAAUUUUGGACAAUGGGGGGCAACCCUGAUCCAGCAACGCCGCGUGAAUGAAGAAGGCCUUAGGGUUGUAAAGUUCUUUUAUCUGAGAGCAAAGGCUACGAGUUAAAAGCUAGUAGUUAUGAGAGUAUCAGAAGAAUAAGCACCGGCUAACUACGUGCCAG
rnacentral:rRNA from 1 species